rnacentral:rRNA from 1 species
UACGGGGGGGGCAAGCGUUGUUCGGAAUUAUUGGGCGUAAAGAGCUCGUAGGCGGCUUGUCACGUCGACUGUGAAAACCCGGGGCUCAACUCCGGGCCUGCAGUCGAUACGGGCUGGCUUGAGUGCGGUAGGGGAGACUGGAAUUCCUGGUGUAGCGGUGAAAUGCGCAGAUAUCAGGAAGAACACCUAUGGCGAAGGCAGCACUCUGGGACGGUACUGACGCUGAGACGCGAAAGCGUGGGGAGCGAACAGG